AUACUUACCUGGCAGGGGAGACACCAUGAUCAGGUAGGUGGUUUUCCCAGGGAGAGGUUCAUCCCCUGCACAAAAGUUUAUAUUUUUUUAUUUUCCUCUAUCCUUCCAGUUGCGGGCAGCAACAUUGGAAGAAGCAGACGGACCCAGUCUAGUAAUAUGUGGCUCCAUAGCUGGUGUCACCAC
rnacentral:snRNA from 7 species